UUGCAUUUUCAAUAAGCGGAGGAAAAGAAACCAACCGGGAUUGCCUUAGUAACGGCGAGUGAAGCGGCAAAAGCUCAAAUUUGAAAUCUGGUACCUUCGGUGCCCGAGUUGUAAUUUGGAGAGGGCAACUUUGGGGCCGUUCCUUGUCUAUGUUCCUUGGAACAGGACGUCAUAGAGGGUGAGAAUCCCGUGUGGCGAGGAGUGCGGUUCUUUGUAAAGUGCCUUCGAAGAGUCGAGUUGUUUGGGAAUGCAGCUCUAAGUGGGUGGUAAAUUCCAUCUAAAGCUAAAUAUUGGCGAGAGACCGAUAGCGAACAAGUACAGUGAUGGAAAGAUGAAAAGAACUUUGAAAAGAGAGUGAAAAAGUACGUGAAAUUGUUGAAAGGGAAGGGCAUUUGAUCAGACAUGGUGUUUUGUGCCCUCUGCUCCUUGUGGGUAGGGGAAUCUCGCAUUUCACUGGGCCAGCAUCAGUUUUGGUGGCAGGAUAAAUCCAUAGGAAUGUAGCUUGCCUCGGUAAGUAUUAUAGCCUGUGGGAAUACUGCCAGCUGGGACUGAGGACUGCGACGUAAGUCAAGGAUGCUGGCAUAAUGGUUAUAUGCCGCCCGUCUUGAAACCACA
rnacentral:rRNA from 1 species